UAUUAAGGGUGCAGGGCGGAUGCCUUGGCACUAGGAGCCGAUGAAGGACGUGAUAAGCUGCGAUAAGCUUCGGGGAGUUGCACGUAAACUUUGAUCCGAAGAUUUCCGAAUGAGGAAACUCACUUAGAGUAAUGUCUAAGUAUCAUUAAGUGAAUACAUAGCUUAAUGAGGGGAACUCAGGGAACUGAAACAUCUAAGUACCUGAAGGAAGAGAAAGAAAUUCGAUUCCGUAAGUAGCGGCGAGCGAACGCGGAUUAGCCCAAACCAAUAAAGUUUUCUUUAUUGGGGUUGCGGACAUAUCAUAACGAAGAGGUAUCGUAAUUGAAGAGGUUUGGAAAGACCCACCACAGAAGGUAAUAGUCCU
rnacentral:rRNA from 1 species